UCCGCCCCCGGAAACGGAAGUCUGUAUGCGCGCGGAGUUUAAUUUGAGCAGCAUCUCGCGCGCCGGUCAGUGGGUUUCAAAACAGCAGCGAGCAAUAGUCGAUAAUCAGCGAUCGAUCCGUGAACAUGGCGACCCCCCCGAAGAGGCCGUGCCCCCCUCCCCGCAGCCCGUCGCUGAACGGCAGCUUUUCCCGUCAAAGGAAGGAGAAGAAGAUCUCCAUCGAAGGAAACAUAGCUGCAGGAAAGUCGACAUUUGUGCGCCUCCUUCAGGCAGCAUCAGAGGACUGGGAGGUCAUCCCUGAACCGAUUGGCAAGUGGUGCAACGUGCAGAAUGACAGCGAUGACGUUUACCUGGAGCUGAGCUCAUCUCAAAAGAGUGGAGGAAACCUGCUGCAGAUGCUGUACGAUAAACCCAGCCGCUGGUCCUACACCUUCCAGAGCUACGCGUGUCUGAGCAGAGUUCGAGCUCAGCUUCAGUCGCCAUCAAUCAAACUUCAGCAGGCAGAAAACCCCGUCCAGUUCUACGAGCGCUCCGUCUACUCCGACAGGUACGUGUUUGCGUCAAACCUGUUUGAGAGUGGCGACCUGUCGGAGACGGAGUGGAGUGUGUAUCAGGACUGGCACACCUGGUUACUGAACCAGUUUGAGUCCGACAUCGCUCUCGACGCCAUCAUCUACCUCAGAGCCCCGCCACAGCGCUGCAUGCAGCGGCUGCUUCAUCGCGGCCGGCAAGAAGAGCAGGAAAUUCCUCUGGAGUACCUUGAGCAGCUGCACUUCAAACAUGAAGCCUGGCUCUACCACAGGAACCUCAGGUUGGACUUUGAUUACUUGAGCGAACUUCCUGUUCUCGUCCUGGAUGUCAACGACGACUUCAAGAACGACCGCAUCAAACAGGAAGCCAUCAUCGACAAGGUCAGAGAGUUUCUUACCACACUGUGAAGCUCAUCCACCAAUGAGAGGUGCUGGGAGAAGUGGUGGCGUGUCUGAUUGGACGACUGAUGUGUUUGUUUUUUUUGUUGUUGUUUUGUUUUUUUAACUUGUUUUUAUAUUUUUGUAGUUUAAGUGUGUGUGUGUGUGUGUGUGUGUGUGUGUGUCUGUGUGUGUGUGUGUGUGUGUGUGUGUGUGUCCAUGAUAUAUUUACUUGCUCUUAGCUUCAUAUUUAUCCUUCAGUCUGAUCAUUCCUGUUUGUCCUGACAAUGAGGUGGUGUUGAAGCCACCACGAUGCCUUCAGGGACCGUUGGUGUUCUGGUUUCUGUGUGAAUAAAGUCAAACUGAAUGAG